rnacentral:tRNA from 1 species
GCAAUGGUGGUUUAGUGGUGGAAUUCUCUCCUUCCCUGCAGGAGACCUGGGUUCAAUUCCCAACCAGUGCA